rnacentral:rRNA from 1 species
GAUUCUGGCUCAGGACGAACGCUGGCGGCGUGCCUAAUACAUGCAAGUAGAACGCUGAAGAGAGGAGCUUGCUCUUCUUGGAUGAGUUGCGAACGGGUGAGUAACGCGUAGGUAACCUGCCUUGUAGCGGGGGAUAACUAUUGGAAACGAUAGCUAAUACCGCAUAACAAUGGAUGACACAUGUCAUUUAUUUGAAAGGGGCAAUUGCUCCACUACAAGAUGGACCUGCGUUGUAUUAGCUAGUAGGUGAGGUAAUGGCUCACCUAGGCGACGAUACAUAGCCGACCUGAGAGGGUGAUCGGCCACACUGGGACUGAGACACGGCCCAGACUCCUACGGGAGGCAGCAGUAGGGAAUCUUCGGCAAUGGGGGCAACCCUGACCGAGCAACGCCGCGUGAGUGAAGAAGGUUUUCGGAUCGUAAAGCUCUGUUGUAAGUCAAGAACGGGUGUGAGAGUGGAAAGUUCACACUGUGACGGUAGCUUACCAGAAAGGGACGGCUAACUACGUGCCAGCAGCCGCGGCAAUACGUAAGUCCCGAGCGUUGUCCGGAUUUAUUGGGCGUAAAGCGAGCGGAGGCGGUUUGAUAAGUCUGAAGUUAAAGGCUGUGGCUCAACCAUAGUUCGCUUUGGAAACUGUCAAACUUGAGUGCGGAAGGGGAGAGUGGAAUUCCAUGUGUAGCGGUGAAAUGCGUAGAUAUAUGGAGGAACACCGGUGGCGAAAGCGGCUCUCUGGUCUGUAACUGACGCUGAGGCUCGAAAGCGUGGGGAGCGAACAGGAUUAGAUACCCUGGUAGUCCACGCCGUAAACGAUGAGUGCUAGGUGUUGGAUCCUUUCCGGGAUUCAGUGCCGCAGCUAACGCAUUAAGCACUCCGCCUGGGGAGUACGACCGCAAGGUUGAAACUCAAAGGAAUUGACGGGGGCCCGCACAAGCGGUGGAGCAUGUGGUUUAAUUCGAAGCAACGCGAAGAACCUUACCAGGUCUUGGCAUCCCGAUGCUAUUUCUAGAGAUAGAAAGUUACUUCGGUACAUCGGUGACAGGUGGUGCAUGGUUGUCGUCAGCUCGUGUCGUGAGAUGUUGGGUUAAGUCCCGCAACGAGCGCAACCCCUAUUGUUAGUUGCCAUCAUUCAGUUGGGCACUCUAGCGAGACUGCCGGUAAUAAACCGGAGGAAGGUGGGGAUGACGUCAAAUCAUCAUGCCCCUUAUGACCUGGGCUACACACGUGCUACAAUGGUUGGUACAACGAGUUGCGAGUCGGUGACGGCGAGCUAAUCUCUUAAAGCCAAUCUCAGUUCGGAUUGUAAGCUGCAACUCGCCUACAUGAAGUCGGAAUCGCUAGUAAUCGCGGAUCAGCACGCCGCGGUGAAUACGUUCCCGGGCCUUGUACACACCGCCCGUCACACCUCGAGAGUUUGUAACACCCGAAGUCGGUGAGGUAACCUUUUGGAGCCAGCCGCCUAAGGUGGGACAGAUGAUUGGGGUGAAGUCGUAACAAGGUAGCC